UUCCUGAAUAGGUUACAAUUCGUAGUGUCAGUGCAAGGCAAGAAAUUAUGUAGUUGUCGCCCAGCCGCAGGCGAGAAGAAGGGUGCAUCAUCUGGGGUCAUGUAUCUGGAUGGAGUUCAAUCUUGUCUCCCUGCUUUGUCAGGGAAAUACCAUUUGGCGUAUCCGUGUGUAUGUCUCACGACUAUGGCAGCACCAUGGUGGGACUGAUAAUGGACCCAUUACGGAUACAUACCGCUAGGGGUAACCACAUAUACACUGAGGUGCUAGAAAUAAUAUCAACAGCUUCCUGGAAUGUAUUGAAGAAGGUGAUGUCAUCAUGACUCCAACAACUCCACUUACGCAUCCAUCAAUCUUGCAGGGAAUAGUUCUAAACUAUCGGGCUUCAGUUGGCAUGUUACCUGAGGCCGACAAGACGGCAAAUUCGGUUAGUGAGAAGAUCGUCCAAAAGAACAUCGUCGAGAAAGAUGAGCUGAUGCAAAGAGGUUUGAACCAUUUGUUUAUGUUAUUGCCCCAGUGAGUGCGGGCAAGAAAGGCAGGAAGAAGUAAUCCCUUAUGUUAGCUUCUCGUGGCCAGGGGCGCAAUGUACGUGGAGGUGUUCAAUAGAGGGGAAAUUCUGCCGCCCUACAGCAUCAGGAAGAGGAACAGCAGGACCAGGCUGCGCUUCACCUAUAACGAUGACAUCUGCUUGAACUCAGUUAACCUGAACUCCAUAAUUGAGGCUAUGUUUAUUCUGUGCCUUUGAAGAUGUAUAGCGGUGGUGCAGACGAACUGACCUUCCUGUUCGUACUCCUACAUUGCAUAUCUGAACUUGGCCAAGAAUGGACCCCAAUGCUUCUCUUGCCUCAGAGGCAUGGUGACCUACUCUGCCUCCCCUUCAUAUGAAGCAAAUAAAAGGCAUGCAGUUCUUUACGAUUUGAGCCGCCACCCCUCCGGCCUGCCCGCCGGCGGCACACUGCUCUUCCAGCCGCCCCUGAGCCCACGCGGCUUGCCGGAUCAUGCGCCACCCCAGAGUGCCACCCACGCCAACCUGAGAUCCGCCUCUGCAGGACAUGAUGGCCAGAUCGCCGGGAGCCCCUACCCCGACCCCAAGGUUGCUGGCAGCGUCAACCCCGACGAUGAGGUCACCGUCACCCCCAACCUUGACGCCCAGGUGUGGAUGGAAGAGUGACAAUAACUACAGGUUGGUCAAAGGUUGAAAGAAAUUCUCCUUUAAAUUAGGCCAAUGCUACUCAACUUUUCUUUGAGUGACGAGGAAUUUCAACCGUCCUUGGCGAAGGACUGCUAUCUGAUUGUCACUAGCCUCGUGUGUAAAUGCUUCGCUUUCAAUAUUUUGUACUAUCUUGCUGCCCUAUGUGCUACUUAAGCCUGAUCUAUUAAACAUUACUUGGCCUAUUCCUUUGUGCCGAGCUUGAUGUGCCUCAAUUGUACUCUAUGAUAUGUACUUUGAUUGGAAAAUUCACAAGGUUAAAGAUUUGCAUUGCUUUUGGUGUUGAACCAUGCAUUGAUUACAUACUUCAGGGCGUGCUUCUUACUGAUUUAGCAUUACCUGCUUGACAAAAGGUUAGGACCAGAACCCUCGCGCCAAGGCGCGUUGCCGAUCU